rnacentral:rRNA from 14 species
ACUGCCCGUGAUAAGCGGGAGGAAGGUGUGGAUGACGUCAAGUCCUCAUGGCCCUUACGGGUUGGGCUACACACGUGCUACAAUGGUGGUAACAGAGGGUUAAUCCCUAAAAACCAUCUCAGUUCGGAUUGUCGUCUGCAACUCGACGGCAUGAAGUCGGAAUCGCUAGUAAUCGCGUAACAGCAUGACGCGGUGAAUACGUUCCCGGGCC